UGGGGAAUAUUGGACAAUGGGGGGAACCCUGAUCCAGCCAUGCCGCGUGUGUGAAGAAGGCCUUAUGGUUGUAAAGCACUUUAAGCGAGGAGGAGGCUCUCUUGGUUAAUACCCAAGAAGAGUGGACGUUACUCGCAGAAUAAGCACCGGCUAACUCUGUGCCAGCAGCCGCGGUAAUACAGAGGGUGCGAGCGUUAAUCGGAUUUACUGGGCGUAAAGCGUGCGUAGGCGGCUUUUUAAGUCGGAUGUGAAAUCCCCGAGCUUAACUUGGGAAUUGCAUUCGAUACUGGGAAGCUAGAGUAUGGGAGAGGAUGGUAGAAGUCCAGGUGUAGCGGUGAAAUGCGUAGAGAUCUGGAGGAAUACCGAUGGCGAAGGCAGCCAUCUGGCCUAAUACUGACGCUGAGGUACGAAAGCAUGGGGAGCAAACAGG
rnacentral:rRNA from 1 species